GACGAACGCUGGCGGCGUGCUUAACACAUGCAAGUCGAACGGCAGCGGGGGAGAAGCUUGCUUUUCCUGCCGGCGAGUGGCGAACGGGUGAGUAAUACUUCGGAACGUGCCCUGUAGUGGGGGAUAACUAGUCGAAAGAUUAGCUAAUACCGCAUACGACCUGAGGGUGAAAGUGGGGGACCGCAAGGCCUCAUGCUAUAGGAGCGGCCGAUGUCUGAUUAGCUAGUUGGUGGGGUAAAGGCCUACCAAGGCGACGAUCAGUAGCUGGUCUGAGAGGACGAUCAGCCACACUGGGACUGAGACACGGCCCAGACUCCUACGGGAGGCAGCAGUGGGGAAUUUUGGACAAUGGGCGAAAGCCUGAUCCAGCAAUGCCGCGUGUGAAGAAGGCCUUCGGGUUGUAAAGCACUUUUGUCCGGAAAGAAAUGGCUCUGGUUAAUACCUGGGGUCGAUGACGGUACCGGAAGAAUAAGGACCGGCUAACUACGUGCCAGCAGCCGCAGUAACAC
rnacentral:rRNA from 1 species